rnacentral:rRNA from 1 species
CGGAAUUACUGGGCGUAAAGCGUACGCAGGCGGUCUGUUAAGUCAGAUGUGAAAUCCCCGGGCUUAACCUGGGAACUGCAUUUGAAACUGGCAGGCUAGAGUCUCGUAGAGGGGGGUAGAAUUCCAGGUGUAGCGGUGAAAUGCGUAGAGAUCUGGAGGAAUACCGGUGGCGAAGGCGGCCCCCUGGACGAAGACUGACGCUCAGGUACGAAAGCGUGGGGAGCAAACAGGAUUAGAUACCCUGGUAGUCCACGCUGUAAACGAUGUCGAUUUGAAGGUUGUGGUCUUGAGCCGUGGCUUUCGGAGCUAACGCGUUAAAUCGACCGCCUGGGGAGUACGGCCGCAAGGUUAAAACUCAAAUGAAUUGACGGGGGCCCGCACAAGCGGUGGAGCAUGUGGUUUAAUUCGAUGCAACGCGAAGAACCUUACCUACUCUUGACAUCCAGAGAACUGAGCAGAGAUGCUUAGGUGCCUUCGGGAACUGUGAGACAGGUGCUGCAUGGCUGUCGUCAGCUCGUGUUGUGAAAUGUUGGGUUAAGUCCCGCAACGAGCGCAACCCUUAUCCUUUGUUGCCAGCGAUUCGGUCGGGAACUCAAAGGAGACUGCCGGUGAUAAACCGGAGGAAGGUGGGGAUGACGUCAAGUCAUCAUGGCCCUUACGAGUAGGGCUACACACGUGCUACAAUGGCGCAUACAAAGAGAAGCGAUCUCGCGAGAGUCAGCGGACCUCAUAAAGUGCGUCGUAGUCCGGAUUGGAGUCUGCAACUCGACUCCAUGAAGUCGGAAUCGCUAGUAAUCGUGGAUCAGAAUGCCACGAUGAAUACGUUCUCGGGCCUUGUACACACCGCCCGUCACACCAUGGGAGUGGGUUGCAAAAGAAGUAGGUAGCUUAACCUUAGGGAGGGCGUUUACCACUUUGUGAUUCAUGACUGGGGUGAAGUCGUAACAAGGUAACC